GGGUCGGUCCGGCCCCCGAGUUGUAAUUUGCAGAGGAUGUUUCGGGUGCGGCGCGGGUCUAAGUCCUUUGGAACAGGGCGUCAGAGAGGGUGAGAAUCCCGUAUGCGACCCGCGACCAACCNCCCUAUGAAACCCCUUCGACGAGUCGAGUUGUUUGGGAAUGCAGCUCAAAAUGGGUGGUAAAUUUCAUCUAAAGCUAAAUACCGGCCAGAGACCGAUAGCGCACAAGUAGAGUGAUCGAAAGAUGAAAAGCACUUUGGAAAGAGAGUCAAACAGUACGUGAAAUUGUUGAAAGGGAAGCGCUUGCGACCAGACCUGUCCGGGGGCGAUCAACCUCCGUUCUCGGGGGUGCACUCGCCCGCGAUCAGGCCAGCAUCGGUUCGGGCGGUCGGAUACAGGCCUUGGGAAUGUAGCUUCCUCCGGGGAGUCUUAUAGCCCUCGGUGCAAUGCGGCCAGCCCGGACCGAGGACCGCGCUUCGGCUAGGAUGCUGGCGUAAUGGUCGUAAGCGACCCGUCUUGAAACACGGACCAAGGAGUCUAACAUCUAUGCGAGUGUUUGGGUAUCAAACCCAUACGCGGAAUGAAAGUGAACGGAGGUGAGAACCCUGAAGGGCGCAUCAUCGACCGAUCCAGAUGUCUUCGGAUGGAUUUGAGUACGAGCAUAGCUGUUGGGACCCGAAAGAUGGUGAACUAUGCCUGAAUAGGGUGAAGCCAGAGGAAACUCUGGUGGAGGCUCGCAGCGGUUCUGACGUGCAAAUCGAUCGUCAAAUUUGGGUAUAGGGGCGAAAGACUAAUCGAACCAUCUAGUAGCUGGUUCCUGCCGAAGUUUCCCUCAGGAUAGCAG
rnacentral:rRNA from 1 species